rnacentral:rRNA from 1 species
UUAGAGUUUGAUCCUGGCUCAGGAUGAACGCUAGCGGCAGGCUUAACACAUGCAAGUCGAGGGGCAGCGAGAUCAGUGCUUGCACUGAUUGUCGGCGACCGGCGCACGGGUGCGUAACGCGUAUGCAACCUACCCAUUACAGGGGGAUAACACUGAGAAAUCGGUACUAAUACCCCAUAACAUCCAGGGAGGCAUCUUCUUGGGUUGAAAACUCCGGUGGUAAUGGAUGGGCAUGCGUUGUAUUAGUUAGUUGGUGGGGUAACGGCUCACCAAGACAACGAUACAUAGGGGGACUGAGAGGUUAACCCCCCACAUUGGUACUGAGACACGGACCAAACUCCUACGGGAGGCAGCAGUGAGGAAUAUUGGUCAAUGGGCGCAAGUCUGAACCAGCCAUGCCGCGUGCAGGAAGACGGCUCUAUGAGUUGUAAACUGCUUUUGUACGAGGGUAAACGCAGAUACGCGUAUCUGUCUGAAAGUAUCGUACGAAUAAGGAUCGGCUAACUCCGUGCCAGCAGCCGCGGUAAUACGGAGGAUUCAAGCGUUAUCCGGAUUUAUUGGGUUUAAAGGGUGCGUAGGCGGUCGGAUAAGUUAGAGGUGAAAUCCCGGGGCUCAACUUCGGAAUUGCCUCUGAUACUGUUCGGCUAGAGAGUAGUUGCGGUAGGCGGAAUGUAUGGUGUAGCGGUGAAAUGCUUAGAGAUCAUACAGAACACCGAUUGCGAAGGCAGCUUACCAAGCUACUUCUGACGUUGAGGCACGAAAGCGUGGGGAGCAAACAGGAUUAGAUACCCUGGUAGUCCACGCAGUAAACGAUGAUAACUCGUUGUCGGCGAUACAGUGUCGGUGACUAAGCGAAAGCGAUAAGUUAUCCACCUGGGGAGUACGUUCGCAAGAAUGAAACUCAAAGGAAUUGACGGGGGCCCGCACAAGCGGAGGAACAUGUGGUUUAAUUCGAUGAUACGCGAGGAACCUUACCCGGGCUUGAAAGUUAGUGACGGAUCUUGAAAGAGGUCUUCCCUUCGGGGCACGAAACUAGGUGCUGCAUGGUUGUCGUCAGCUCGUGCCGUGAGGUGUCGGGUUAAGUCCCAUAACGAGCGCAACCCCUACCGUUAGUUGCCAGCAGGUCAAGCUGGGCACUCUGACGGGACUGCCGGUGUAAGCCGAGAGGAAGGUGGGGAUGACGUCAAAUCAGCACGGCCCUUACGUCCGGGGCUACACACGUGUUACAAUGGCAGGUACAGAGGGCAGCUACCCAGCGAUGGGAUGCGAAUCUCGAAAGCCUGUCUCAGUUCGGAUUGGAGGCUGAAACCCGCCUCCAUGAAGUUGGAUUCGCUAGUAAUCGCGCAUCAGCCAUGGCGCGGUGAAUACGUUCCCGGGCCUUGUACACACCGCCCGUCAAG